rnacentral:rRNA from 1 species
AUGAAACACUCCUACGGGAGGCAGCAGUGGGGAAUUUUGGACAAUGGGCGCAAGCCUGAUCCAGCAAUGCCGCGUGCAGGAAGAAGGCCUUCGGGUUGUGGACUGCUUUUGUACGGAACGAAACGGUCUGGGUUAAUACCCUGGGCUAAUGACGGUACCGUAAGAAUAAGCACCGGCUAACUACGUGCCAGCAGCCGCGGUAAUACGUAGGGUGCAAGCGUUAAUCGGAAUUACUGGGCGUAAAGCGUGCGCAGGCGGUUUUGUAAGACAGUCGUGAAAUCCCCGGGCUCAACCUGGGAAUUGCGAUUGUGACUGCAAGGCUGGAGUGCGGCAGAGGGGGAUGGAAUUCCGCGUGUAGCAGUGAAAUGCGUAGAUAUGCGGAGGAACACCGAUGGCGAAGGCAAUCCCCUGGGCCUGCACUGACGCUCAUGCACGAAAGCGUGGGGAGCAAACAGGAUUAGAAACCCCAGUAGUCCGAAGUUC